UAAUACGGAGGGUGCAAGCGUUAUCCGGAAUCAUUGGGUUUAAAGGGUCCGCAGGCGGUCAAUUAAGUCAGAGGUGAAAUACCAUAGCUCAACUAUGGAACUGCCUUUGAUACUGGUUGACUUGAGUCAUAUGGAAGUAGAUAGAAUGUGUAGUGUAGCGGUGAAAUGCAUAGAUAUUACACAGAAUACCGAUUGCGAGGGCAGUCUACUACGUAUGUACUGACGCUCAUGGACGAAAGCGUGGGGAGCGAACAGGAUUAGAUACCCUGGUAGUCCACGCCGUAAACGAUGGAUACUAGUUGUUGGGCAUUAGCUCAGUGACUAAGCGAAAGUGAUAAGUAUCCCACCUGGGGAGUACGGUCGCAAGACUG
rnacentral:rRNA from 1 species